GACGAACGCUGGCGGCGUGCUUAACACAUGCAAGUCGAACGGAAAGGCCCUGCUUUUGUUGGGUGCUCGAGUGGCGAACGGGUGAGUAACACGUGAGUAACCUGCCCUUGACUUUGGGAUAACUUCAGGAAACUGGGGCUAAUACCGGAUAGGAGCUCCUGCUGCAUGGUGGGGGUUGGAAAGUUUGGGCGGUUGUGGAUGGACUCGCGGCUUAUCAGCUUGUUGGUGGGGUAGUGGCUUACCAAGGCUUUGACGGGUAGCCGGCCUGAGAGGGUGACCGGCGACAUUGGGACUGAGAUACGGCCCAGACUCCUACGGGAGGCAGCAGUGGGGAGUAUUGCACAAUGGGCGGAAGCCUGAUGCAGCAACGCCGCGUGCGGGAUGACGGCCUUCGGGUUGUAAACCGCUUUCGCCUGUGACGAAGCGUGAGUGACGGUAAUGGGUAAAGAAGCACCGGCUAACUACGUG
rnacentral:rRNA from 1 species